GCCAACGUAGCUCAGUGGCAGAGCAGACGCUUCGUAAGCGCCCGGUCGAGGGUUCAACUCCCUCCGUUGGCU
rnacentral:tRNA from 2 species